rnacentral:rRNA from 1 species
UACGUAGGGUGCAAGCGUUGUCCGGAAUUAUUGGGCGUAAAGGGCUCGUAGGCGGUCCAUCGCGUCGGGAGUGAAAAGCUGGGGCUUAACCCCGGUCCUGCUUCCGAUACGGGUGGACUAGAGGUAGGUAGGGGAGAACGGAAUUCCUGGUGUAGCGGUGAAAUGCGCAGAUAUCAGGAGGAACACCGGUGGCGAAGGCGGUUCUCUGGGCCUUACCUGACGCUGAGGAGCGAAAGCAUGGGGAGCAAACAGG